ensembl:lncRNA
UGUAACAAAACAACUUUUCACCAUCAAGUAUUUUCUGGUCUUUCUUUUUGCUGCACAGAUGCUGACCCAAGGGGAUAAAACUAGAAGGCUAAUGAUCUUGGAGAGGCUGGAGAUGUGGGAGAUUUGACUUGUGACGUAACUGUACCUGUGAUGAGUAUUUUGAGUUAAUCUUAGAUCGAGGAGGCUUCCUAAAAUCACGACCCACUGAUGCUGUGCUGUAGUUCUAAAAGCUGCUUUAAAAUGUUGAAUUGCAGCACUGAUUAUUUAAGGCAAAAUAAUGCAAGAGUUCAGUUGGUGAAGGUAUUUUUGAAUGUUGUUUUCAAGUGUGAGCAUAUCUGAAAUAAUUCAUGAUAAAUUUAGUGAAAUUAGUGUGUUUCAUAUUGUGUGUUUAAAAUUUCAUCUGUCAGCAUGCUUAUCACAAUUUCAAUCUUGUAUGUGGUGCUUCAAUACCAUUUAACCUGUGCAGAGAACAGCUUAUUCUUUUUUAAUGUGAGAGCAGCUAUCUUUAUCUGUCAGUGUUUUCAGUUACUCACCGUCUUACGGCGAUUUUCUUUCACUUGCAUGUUUUCUUGGAAUCUACUGGGUAAUGGUAUGUAUAGACUAGUUAAUCAAAGAAGAGAUAAAAACCCAUGUAGAAAGCAAGCAACCUGUAGAACUUUGGUUCUCACUUCUGUUUCGAUGAUUAUAUUUCCAGUAUUGUUUUUGGAGUUAGGAUAGGGAACACUGAGAACUUGUUCAUUAUUAGAUGCUCAAAAUAUCACAUUUCUGGUUCUGAUGGCUGCUGAUGCUGUUAGUGACCUCUGUCACACGGAAAUUUACCAAGUUGUUACUGCUGCCUGUGGCCAGGAGAAGUAAUAUAUUUCAAAGCCGUUGCUCUGAUGUUAUCAGAAAUAUGUUCUAAUGCCUUUGAUUAAAAUGGCUAGCUGCCAUGGUGAUAGUGCCAUAGAAACUGGUAAAAUAAUCGUUGGCUGUUCAGAAGUCUGAAUCAAAAGAAGUCUGAAGUUUUUCUGCAUUUUUCAGCAUCAUAGCGGAAAUGAAAUUCUGUUAUAUUCCUGAUUAACAAAUUAUUGAAUUCCUUUGCUCUCUGUUUUACAACAGACAGGGCUGCAGUUGUACUGGUCCUAUCUAAAUACUAAAUGCACGAGUGUUUGACAAUUCAGUCAUUCCAUGAACUCCUGGUCUGAAGAACAAGGGCAUUGGAGUAGAAGCUUUUCUUGCAGUAUUGAUUUUCGUUGUUAAGUCAGUUUGGUCUUCUACUGUAAUUACUUUCUAAGCAGUACAGUAAGCAUCGUUUUCUUCAAAAAC